GGUAAAAAGACCCAGAAUCUUCUUUGCUCUCCUGGCUGUAAUUGGCUCAAUGCCAGGACAAAAACACUGUUAAAUCUCUUUACCUGUUCCUCAAAAAGCAGCUGUUCUCUAUUGGGCUGUUUGCCAAAAAACCCCACCCAAAUCAUCCAAUAUUUAAGGAAGGGCACGAGGCUUCUCAGUGCAUUUUUGGGGUGUUGUAGCAGGUGUGUGGGACACUGUGAACAGCUUUUUUCCUUUAUUUUGUAUUAUUUUUUUUCUUUUAUUUUUGCUUUUUCAAUACACAAUCGACCACGCCACCUCACUCUUUAUUUUAAGUAAUUUUCUGUGAGGUGCUGGACACCCUCAGAGGCCUUGAACCCUCACAGAGCUGAACACAUCUGGCUCUUGGAGAAAUUCAAUAUCUGGGGAUUUCCUGAGGGGUUCAAAGGUUUCCACAGUGGUGGAAGGGAGGGGUCAGGCAGCCCCAUCCCGACCCACACAGCGCUGCAGGGCUCUGGAAUUGGAACCACAUGUGCCGAGCCCGGGGGAGGCUGUGCAAACAGAGAGGCAGAGCCCUGCACACGGCAGAUUCCAAGUUUUUCCAAGAGUUUCCAAGUGGUGACGUGAAGCGUUUGGAAUUGAGGCUGCAGAGGAGUGAGCAAGGCGAGGGAGAGCAGAAAAGCCAACAUUUCACAGAGCAAAGCCUCUGGGUUUUAGAGGUUUGCUGAGCACGAGUGGGGCUGGAAUUGUGCUGGUGGUGCUUGACCAGAGAAAAGUCAACAGUGCCCAGCAAUCCUCCCUUGGGAAAUCUUGGAUGAGCCAGGGAAGGGAUGUGGGAUGGCUUCACCAGCACGGUGCACGCCCUGGAGUUUGAAGCAUCUGGACAUCGCAGGGAGCUCGAAAUGCAGUUUGUGGGGAUUUCUGAGGAAUGCAAACCCCACUGGAAAGGCUGGAGGAGAGCCCCAGUCACCCAAGGUGUCCUGCAGUGACAAGAGCCAGAGACAAAAGCCUGAGGAGGAUUCUGCUCCCCACCAGGUCCCAGCCUGGGAGCUGAGGGCCAAAUUCCAACUUCUGGAUCCAUUCCACUGAACAACAACCCACAAACCUAAAAAGGACACGACCAGACACAAUAAAAAAUGCAGCAACACUGCCUAAGAAACAGCCUAAAAAAAUGAAGAAAUAUUGAAUUCUUUUAGCUUCUGUCAAAAUUUUGGGAGAUUUAAAAACAUCUGGGAAAUUGUGGGGGUUUUUUUGAUUUUUUUUGGGGGGGUUUUUUGUUUGUUUUUGUUUGGGUUUUUUUUGUGUGUGUGGUUUUUUUUUUGUUUGUUUGUUUGUUUUUUUUUUUUUUUUUUUUUUUAAUUAUAUUUAUUGGUUGGCUUUGGGUUUUUUUACUUGUUUAAAUAGAAACCUUUGCAGUUUUGGUGUAGAUGUAUCAGAAUCCUGAUCUUUCCAAGUUCAAAGCAGGAGCUGAGUCACCAAGUGAGGUGUCUGGAGAGGGCCUAAAGCAGAAAGCAGCUCCACUUCCCUCAGAAUUGACACCCAAAUUACAACUCCUCAAUUCCAACUUUAGCAGCCUGUCAAAAACACAGGUGGGAAGGCCGAAAAUAAAGCCUUGGUGUUCCUUGAGGUGAAAUAAAACCUGGAAAUUGUUGGAGGGGACAGGGAGGGAUGAUGUUCCAGAGCUCAGCCCAUCACUCUGAGCCCUUUCACACCCGACAGUUUUGGAUUUAGGGACGAGGCUGGGAAGGAAGCAGAUGUUCCUCCCUGCCCUCCACGGGCUCCCCUGCCAGCAGCUGAGAUCUUACACGGAUUUUUCAUGUCUGCAAAUACCAAGGGAGCUGUGCAAGCCCAGGGCCGUGGCUGGGGGGGACCCCAAGGAUUCUGAGCCUGCCAAAUGCUCCUGUGACCUUUGCUGGGAAAGAGCAAAGCAGUCCCUGGCACAGGGCCCUCCCUGCAGAGAGGGAUGCCCCGAGUGAGGCUGGCCAGGCAGAGCCCUUUGGAAGGGCAGGAGCUGGGGAUCAGCCUAAAAAACCCCUGGCUGAGAGCUACAGCACGUCACAGAGCCUGCACGCAGCUUCCAGGGCGCUGGGCAGGGUUUGGAGGGGAGCAGGAGGAGGAGGAGGAGGGUGGAAAUGGGAUUGAGGCAGCAGCUGAAGCGUUGUGCUGCUGAUGGGAUGUGAAAAGGUCACAGCUGAUGGGGAAGCACGUGGGAAAGGUCGGGAGGGGAUGGGGACUGGGGGCUCCCAGGAGCACCAGGCUGGGCUCCCAUCUCCUCCCCAGCCCCGAUCCCAAGCCUUGAAACCAUCUCUGAACUUCUCCCGUGUCCUGAGGUGGGCUGAGGGCCCCACUGUGAUCUCCUCAACACCAGGAAGGGUUUUAGCCACAGCCCUGACUUGGCACAAAGCUGAUGCUGAACAGAUAUUAGGGAAGCAAAAACCAGGCUGCACUUCACUGCUCCCUCCUUGGGAAUUCGUGAAUUCUGUCCUUGGGAACAGCUAUUCUGGAUUUUGUUUGACCAAAACCUCUUUCAGAGCCACUUUUGGAGGCCAGCAGAAUGCCUGUAACACCUGCCAUGAACUGAAAUCUCAGUUUCACCAGGAGUGCUUUAGAACCUCAGGACAGAGGAGGGCAGAAGGAGCCUCCCAAUCCCAAAUCCUGCUCCAGGCAGACUCUCAGCCCCUUGAUCAUCUCUGUGGCCUUUAGCUGGACUCAUCCCAGGCUUUGUCUCACAC